AUUGAACGCUGGCGGCAUGCUUCACACAUGCAAGUCGAACGGUAACAGGGAGCUUGCUCCGCUGACGAGUGGCGAACGGGUGAGUAAUGCGUCGGAACGUGCCGAGUAGUGGGGGAUAACGCAUCGAAAGGUGUGCUAAUACCGCAUACGAACUGAGGUUGAAAGUGGGGGACCUUCGGGCCUCACGCUAUUCGAGCGGCCGACGUCUGAUUAGCUAGUUGGUGAGGUAAAGGCUCACCAAGGCGACGAUCAGUAGCGGGUCUGAGAGGAUGAUCCGCCACACUGGGACUGAGACACGGCCCAGACUCCUACGGGAGGCAGCAGUGGGGAAUUUUGGACAAUGGGCGCAAGCCUGAUUCAGCCAUGCCGCGUGUCUGAAGAAGGCCUUCGGGUUGUAAAGGACUUUUGUCCGGGAGCAAAUGCUGGUGGCUAACAUCCACCGGAGCUGAGAGUACCGGAAGAAUAAGCACCGGCUAACUACGUGCCAGCAGCCGCGGUAACAC
rnacentral:rRNA from 1 species